rnacentral:rRNA from 1 species
GACGAACGCUGGCGGCGUGCUUAACACAUGCAAGUCGAACGGGUCUGCCCUGUUUUUUGCGGGGUGGGUCAGUGGCGAACGGGUGAGUAACACGUGAGUAACCUGCCCCUCACUUCUGGAUAACCGCUUGAAAGGGUGGCUAAUACGGGGUGUUCUGGCUGUGCCGCAUGGUGUGGCUGGGAAAGAUUCACUUUUGUGGUGUUUUGGUGGGGGAUGGGCUCGCGGCCUAUCAGCUUGUUGGUGGGGUGAUGGCCUGCCAAGGCUUUGACGGGUAGCCGGCCUGAGAGGGUGGGCGGUCACACUGGGACUGAGAUACGGCCCAGACUCCUGCGGGAGGCAGCAGUGGGGGGUAUUGCACAAUGGGCGGAAGCCUGAUGCAGCGACGUCGCGGGAGGGAUGGAGGCCUGCGGGUUGUGAACCUCUUUCGCCGGUGAAGAAGGUCCUGCUCUUUGUGGUGGGGUUGACGGUAGCCGGGUUAUGAAGCGCCGGCUAACUACGUG